GGGGAAGGCCUAACUGGCAGUCGACGAGCACCUCUCCCGUUGAUUGAAGUAGCUUGCUACAGAUUGAAACAAUUGAGGUGACUGAGUGGCGGACGGGUGAGUAACGCGUGGGUAACCUGCCUUGUACAGGGGGAUAACAGUUGGAAACGACUGCUAAUACCGCAUAAGCGCACAGUAUCGCAUGAUACGGUGUGAAAAACUCCGGUGGUACAAGAUGGACCCGCGUCUGAUUAGCUAGUUGGAGGGGUAACGGCCCACCAAGGCAACGAUCAGUAGCCGACUUGAGAGAGUGAUCGGCCACAUUGGGACUGAGACACGGCCCAAACUCCUACGGGAGGCAGCAGUAGGGAAUAUUGCACAAUGGGGGAAACCCUGAUGCAGCGACGCCGCGUGAAGGAUGAAGUAUUUCGGUAUGUAAACUUCUAUCAGCAAGGAAGAAAAUGACGGUACUUGACUAAGAAGCCCCGGCUAAAUACGUGCCAGCAGCCGCGGUAAUACGUAUGGGGCAAGCGUUAUCCGGAUUUACUGGGUGUAAAGGGAGCGUAGGCGGUACGGCAAGUCAGAAGUGAAAGCCUGGGGCUCAACCCCGGAAUUGCUUUUGAAACUGUCGAACUAGAGUGUCGGAGGGGUAAGCGGAAUUCCUAGUGUAGCGGUGAAAUGCGUAGAUAUUAGGAGGAACACCGGUGGCGAAGGCGGCUUACUGGACGACCACUGACGCUGAGGCUCGAAAGCGUGGGGAGCAAACAGGAU
rnacentral:rRNA from 1 species